rnacentral:rRNA from 1 species
UACAGAGGGGGCAAGCGUUGUUCGGAAUUACUGGGCGUAAAGGGCGCGUAGGCGGCCUGCUAAGUCGAACGUGAAAUCCCCGGGCUCAACCCGGGAACUGCGUCCGAUACUGGCAGGCUUGAAUCCGGGAGAGGGAUGUGGAAUUCCAGGUGUAGCGGUGAAAUGCGUAGAUAUCUGGAGGAACACCAGCGGCGAAGGCGGCGCUCUGGGCCGGUACUGACGCUGAGGAGCGAAAGCGUGGGGAGCAAACAGG